AGGUAGGACGGCGUGGCUGCUUUGUUGAGCCGCGCCAUGGAAUCGAGAGCUCCAAGUGGGCCAUUUUUGGUAAGCAGAACUGGCGAUGCGGGAUGAACCGAACGCGAGGUUAAGGUGCCAGAGUAGACGCUCAUCAGACACCACAAAAGGUGUUAGUACAUCUAGACAGCAGGACGGUGGCCAUGGAAGUCGGAAUCCGCUAAGGACUGUGUAACAACUCACCUGCCGAAUGUACUAGCCCUGAAAAUGGAUGGCGCUCAAGCGUCUCACCCAUACCUCGCCCUCAGGGUAGAAACGAUGCCCUGAGGAGUAGGCGGACGUGGAGGUCAGUGACGAAGCCUAGGGCGUGAGCCCGGGUCGAACGGCCUCUAGUGCAGAUCUUGGUGGUAGUAGCAAAUACUUCAAUGAGAACUUGAAGGACCGAAGUGGGGAAAGGUUCCAUGUGAACAGCGGUUGGACAUGGGUUAGUCGAUCCUAAGCCAUAGGGAAGUUCCGUUUCAAAGGUGCACUUUGCACCGUUUGGCGAAAGGGGAGCCGGUCAAUAUUCCGGCACCUGGAUGUGGGUUUUGCGCGGCAACGCAACUGAACGUGGAGACGACGGCGGGGGCCCCGGGCAGAGUUCUCUUUUCUUCUUAACGGUCUCUCACCCUGAAAUCGGUUUGUCCGGAGCUAGGGUUUAAUGGCCGGAAGAGCCCAGCACCUCUGUUGGGUCCGGUGCGCUCUCGACGUCCCUUGAAAAUCCACGG
rnacentral:rRNA from 1 species